GCGGGGGCGGGGCCCGCGCUCUCCCCGCCUCCCCUCCUCCCCUCCCUCUCCCGGGCCCGCGCCCCCUCACCCGUGGCGGCCGCUACGCUGGCCGCGCUCCAGCGAAAUGAGGACGGCAAUCCCACACUCCUGCUGCCGUGGAUAGUGGACGAAGAUGCGUUGGAUAACAUUGCGGGGCCGGAAGACCUCCUUGGGGAAGACAUCCAGCAGCAAGUUGUACACUGACAGGUCCCGCUCCACUCCGAACUCUGGCAUCUUGCGCAACGCUAGGUAGAUGAAGUCCACAUGGCCACGCUUACGCACGCUGUGCUCCCCAAAGCUGCGUACUGCACGUAAGAAGCUUGCCUUGUCCUGCUCCCCAUAUGCCGACUGCUUGAACAGUUCUUCAUGGCCAGAUGGGAACUUGCUGGGCUUCCUCUGGGGCUCGGGAGGUUGAGGAACCAACCACGUGUCAUCCUUGUGCGUUACUGGGCUGCAGUGGAGGCCUCGGGGGGCCUGGAGGGACACCUGGGAGGGUAUGGAGGGACACUUUAGCUUUUCUGGCAGAGGUGCCCGGGAUAUCAUGGAGGGCCUCUGAAGAGCUUUGAUACUGUGGCUGCUAACUCUAGCUUAGGUACCAUGACAAAGUACAGUGCCACAUGGUGGCACACACCUGAAAUUCCAACCCCCAGGAGGCUGUGGCAGGAGAAUUGAGAUCUCAAGGCUUGCUUGAACCACAUAUCAUAUUCUAAGGCCAUUUGGUAUUCCAUAUGGCGCUCUCUCUCUCUCUCUCUCUC